CUGCGGUCGCUGUGCCAGGCCUGGGCCAACCCCCUCUGGAGCAGCAGCUCUAUGUGAGCCAGGCUCUGCUGCUGUGUGUGGGACUACUGAGUGAUGCAGAGCUACAGGAGCUAAGCUCAAAGCUGCUGCAGUUCAUGCUGGGAGGGAUGCAGAGCCACCUGGACAGCAGCGUAGUGCUAAUGAGGAGCAUGGUGGAGGGGGAGUGUCUCCGCUCCUGCAUGGACAUCAACGGAGCCAUGUUCAAAUUCGAGGGUGAGGAGACCAAGGAGCUGCUCUCACUGAUGACUACACUGUCUGAUGAAGAAAUGGAGCCGGUUGAUGACAGAUUGAAUCUUCCUCAAGAGGUUAAAGGGCAGACUACACCCUCUCAGUCAGUACCAUCCCAGGCUGCUUCAGUGGCCCAGAAAUCAGGAGCUGACACAGAUUCUGGAUAGUUAAGAAGACAUGGUAUAGAGCUCGCCUGCUUGUCCUAGAAAACAGAUGAGUUACCUCUGUGAUGAUUCACUCACCACCUACUGACCAGGAGAUGAGCCACCCUGCCUCGAGACUGUCUGGAGGCUUUCCUCUCCUCUGAGGACGCAGUGAAGGUAGAGCUCAGUCUGAGAGCUGUUGAGGGACUGGUUAGGAAGAAUACUUCUACAGCCAGUGAUGUGAUAGGUUACACACAUGGUUUAGAUGGUAAUUAUUUGCCACCAUAGCAGUUCAUCUCGUAAGCAAAAGGGAAUUUGUUCCAUCAUCUAUGUUAAUUUACAUUAGUGCAAAAUGUCUACCGAUAUUCAUGUAAUUUCUCGCCCCUUUUGGCUGUAUGAAAGUUUAUUUCCCCUCAGCACACACAUUUGUUCUUUGUUAUUAUGAAAGUAAUUUGUGUAAAAUGUACUUUUUCCCCACUCAUUCACCACCUUUUUACAUUGCUUAUGCAUAUUCAGUGGCCUGAUUGCGUCCGGACUAUGUCAAAUUCCGAACACAAUGCCCAUCCUGCCAUCCUGGCAGGUCUGAACCUAAUGCGAGGUCAGUGUGACUUUCGUGCAUCCAGACCUAAUGCAGCUUGGAGCGAUCGGAUGACAGAAGUCGCAUUUAAGUGCCAGGUGUAACAGAGGCGAUAGAUGCUACAUAUCCAUUACUUUGAGUGUUUUAUAUAAUAUAACUACAUGUGUUUCUUUCUGUGCUGCAGGGGCAGUCAAGAAAUGGAACGGCAAGGCAACAGAACAUGACAAAUGCAGAGCUGUGGGAGACCACCUCAAGCAUGCCCAUGAACAGCCUCAAUUUGUCAGGGCAUGGACUAUACAAGGUG